GGACGAACGCUGGCGGCGUGCUUAGCACAUGCAAGUCGAACGGAAAGGCCCUGCUUUUGUAGGGUGCUCGAGUGGCGAACGGGUGAGUAACACGUGAGUAACCUGCCCUUGACUUUGGGAUAACUUCAGGAAACUGGGGCUAAUACCGGAUAGGAGCUCCUGCUGCAUGGUGGGGGUUGGAAAGUUUCGGCGGUUGGGGAUGGACUCGCGGCUUAUCAGCUUGUUGGUGGGGUAGUGGCUUACCAAGGCUUUGACGGGUAGCCGGCCUGAGAGGGUGACCGGCCACAUUGGGACUGAGAUACGGCCCAGACUCCUACGGGAGGCAGCAGUGGGGAAUAUUGCACAAUGGGCGGAAGCCUGAUGCAGCAACGCCGCGUGCGGGAUGACGGCCUUCGGGUUGUAAACCGCUUUCGCCUGUGACGAAGCGUGAGUGACGGUAAUGGGUAAAGAAGCACCGGCUAACUACGUG
rnacentral:rRNA from 1 species